UGCAAGUCGAGCGGUAGCACAGAGAGCUUGCUCUCGGGUGACGAGCGGCGGACGGGUGAGUAAUGUCUGGGAAACUGCCUGAUGGAGGGGGAUAACUACUGGAAACGGUAGCUAAUACCGCAUANNGUCGCAAGACCAAAGUGGGGGACCUUCGGGCCUCAUGCCAUCAGAUGUGCCCAGAUGGGAUUAGCUAGUAGGUGGGGUAACGGCUCACCUAGGCGACGAUCCCUAGCUGGUCUGAGAGGAUGACCAGCCACACUGGAACUGAGACACGGUCCAGACUCCUACGGGAGGCAGCAGUGGGGAAUAUUGCACAAUGGGCGCAAGCCUGAUGCAGCCAUGCCGCGUGUGUGAAGAAGGCCUUCGGGUUGUAAAGCACUUUCAGCGGGGAGGAAGGCGGNGAGGUUAAUAACCUNNUCGAUUGACGUUACCCGCAGAAGAAGCACCGGCUAACUCCGUGCCAGCAGCCGCGGUAAUACGGAGGGUGCAAGCGUUAAUCGGAAUUACUGGGCGUAAAGCGCACGCAGGCGGUCUGUCAAGUCGGAUGUGAAAUCCCCGGGCUCAACCUGGGAACUGCAUUCGAAACUGGCAGGCUAGAGUCUUGUAGAGGGGGGUAGAAUUCCAGGUGUAGCGGUGAAAUGCGUAGAGAUCUGGAGGAAUACCGGUGGCGAAGGCGGCCCCCUGGACAAAGACUGACGCUCAGGUGCGAAAGCGUGGGGAGCAAACAGGAUUAGAUACCCUGGUAGUCCACGCCGUAAACGAUGUCGAUUUGGAGGUUGUGCCCUUGAGGCGUGGCUUCCGGAGCUAACGCGUUAAAUCGACCGCCUGGGGAGUACGGCCGCAAGGUUAAAACUCAAAUGAAUUGACGGGGGCCCGCACAAGCGGUGGAGCAUGUGGUUUAAUUCGAUGCAACGCGAAGAACCUUACCUGGUCUUGACAUCCACAGAACUUUCCAGAGAUGGAUUGGUGCCUUCGGGAACUGUGAGACAGGUGCUGCAUGGCUGUCGUCAGCUCGUGUUGUGAAAUGUUGGGUUAAGUCCCGCAACGAGCGCAACCCUUAUCCUUUGUUGCCAGCGGUUAGGCCGGGAACUCAAAGGAGACUGCCAGUGAUAAACUGGAGGAAGGUGGGGAUGACGUCAAGUCAUCAUGGCCCUUACGACCAGGGCUACACACGUGCUACAAUGGCAUAUACAAAGAGAAGCGACCUCGCGAGAGCAAGCGGACCUCAUAAAGUAUGUCGUAGUCCGGAUUGGAGUCUGCAACUCGACUCCAUGAAGUCGGAAUCGCUAGUAAUCGUAGAUCAGAAUGCUACGGUGAAUACGUUCCCGGGCCUUGUACACACCGCCCGUCACACCAUGGGAGUGGGUUGCAAAAGAAGUAGGUAGCUUAACCUUCGGGAGGGC
rnacentral:rRNA from 1 species